rnacentral:rRNA from 1 species
UCUCCAAAUUGUUUUUGCUUGCAUAAAUGAUUUUUGGUUUCGGAGCGAGUGGCGAACUGGUGAGUAACACGUGGGUAACCUGCCCCGAAGCGGGGGAUAACAUUUGGAAACAAGUGCUAAUACCGCAUAAUUAGUUGGAACCGCAUGGUUCCAACUUGAAAGAUGGCUCUGCUAUCACUUUGGGAUGGACCCGCGCCGUAUUAGUUAGUUGGUGAGAUAAAAGCCCACCAAGACAAUGAUACGUAGCCGACCUGAGAGGGUAAUCGGCCACAUUGGGACUGAAACACGGCCCAGACUCCUACGGGAGGCAGCAGUAGGGAAUCUUCCACAAUGGACGAAAGUCUGAUGGAGCAACGCCGCGUGAGUGAUGAAGGUUUUCGGAUCGUAAAACUCUGUUGUUAAAAAAAAACAAGUGUUAGAGUAACUGUUAACACUUUGACGGUAUUUAACCAGAAAGCCACGGCUAACUACGUGCCAGCAGCCGCGGUAAUACGUAGGUGGCAAGCGUUGUCCGGAUUUAUUGGGCGUAAAGCGAGCGCAGGCGGUUUUGUAAGUCUGCUGUGAAAGCCCUCAGCUCAACUGAGGAAGUGCAGUGGAAACUACAAAACUUGAGUACAGAAGAGGAAAGUGGAACUCCAUGUGUAGCGGUGAAAUGCGUAGAUAUAUGGAAGAACACCAGUGGCGAAGGCGGCUUUCUGGUCUGUUACUGACGCUGAGGCUCGAAAGCAUGGGUAGCGAACAGGAUUAGAUACCCUGGUAGUCCAUGCCGUAAACGAUGAAUACUAGGUGUUGGAGGGUUUCCGCCCUUCAGUGCCGCAGCUAACGCAUUAAGUAUUCCGCCUGGGGAGUACGACCGCAAGGUUGAAACUCAAAGGAAUUGACGGGGGCCCGCACAAGUGGUGGAGCAUGUGGUUAAUUUCGAUGCUACGCGAAGAACCUUACCACCUCUGACAUCUCUGCCAACCCAAGAAAUUGGGCGUUUCCUCGGGACAGAUGACAGGGGUGCAUGU